rnacentral:rRNA from 2 species
CCUGGCGGCGAUAGCGCGGUGGUCCCACCUGACCCCAUGCCGAACUCAGAAGUGAAACGCCGUA